GCAAUAACUCUUAUUUAUCUUCGGUCACCAGCUUGCCACAUGAGCAAUUUUUUUCAACAAGCCGUGUUGUAUUUUGUUUCAGGGGUAACAAAAUCAUGUUGGUAGCCCAAGCGAGCCUCUUUGGGCUUCCGUAACUGAUGAGGCGGCGUAAUAACCCAUAAAGAGAAGCCCACCGGUGGAUCUCUUCUUAUCCCUUCCUCUUCAUGCCAGCAGAACAAGCGAUGCCACCACACGCACCAUCGAUGCCCUGCAGCCGACUGCUCCGGCGUUCUUCCGCGCGGGCGAGCAGAGGCACCCCAUGGCACCACCUCCUCAUCUCCUUCUCCUGGCGCGCGAAUACCUCAACGGAGCGACCUCCAUCGCGUCAUCGAUCUGGCCGCCGCCUCACUUGCGGCUCAAUCUGAUCUGGGAGAGAUGGUGAGGGGUGGGGGUGGCCGAGUAAGGGGAGAGGGAGAUCCGGUGCAGGAUGACCUCCACGACUCUGCCUCCUCGAGGACGACUUCCACCACCUCCCUGCUGCCCAGAAGCGACGAGGUCGCCGCCUCUCGGCAACUUCCCGUGCUCCCUCAGAAAUUCCCCUUCAGAUAGUUGAGCGGCAUCGCUCCCAUAGUCUUCAGCAUCAGCAGGGCUCCUAAUUCCAUGGCUUGCCUUUGUCUUUUGGCGGGCAUAUUUAUAGUUGAGGGAUCUUUUAUUCCAUUUCAAUUUGCUUUGGAAAUCUUCUGCCGUCUCAAUUUCUCAUGUCAAGGAAUAUAGCUGUAUUUUUCUUGGAAUUUUCAUUUGCCUUGCAAUGCUAAUGGAGAAAAGGCAACAAAAUUAUUUGAGGGAUAGAGAUUGUUAACGAACAGAUCAUCAAACUAUUUGCCAUGGAAAUUGCUAUUUAGAGACCUGGUGCAUUUGGAAA